rnacentral:ncRNA from 1 species
CCCGAAAGAUGGUGAACUAUGCCUGAGCGGGGCGAAGCCAGAGGAAACUCUGGUGGAGGCUCGAAGCGAUACUGACGUGCAAAUCGUUCGUCUGACUUGGGUAUAGGGGCGAAAGACUAAUCCGACCAUCUAGUAGCUGGUUCCCUCCGAAGUUUCCCUCAGGAUAGCUGGAGCCCAUUACGAGUUCUAUCAGGUAAAGCCAAUGAUUAGAGGCAUUGGGGACGCAACGUCCUCGACCUAUUCUCAAACUUUAAAUAGGUAGGAUGGCUCGGC